CAGGCUUAACACAUGCAAGUCGAGGGGCAGCAUGGUCUUAGCUUGCUAAGGCCGAUGGCGACCGGCGCACGGGUGAGUAACACGUAUCCAACCUGCCGUCUACUCUUGGACAGCCUUCUGAAAGGAAGAUUAAUACAAGAUGGCAUCAUGAGUCCGCAUGUUCACAUGAUUAAAGGUAUUCCGGUAGACGAUGGGGAUGCGUUCCAUUAGAUAGUAGGCGGGGUAACGGCCCACCUAGUCUUCGAUGGAUAGGGGUUCUGAGAGGAAGGUCCCCCACAUUGGAACUGAGACACGGUCCAAACUCCUACGGGAGGCAGCAGUGAGGAAUAUUGGUCAAUGGGCGAGAGCCUGAACCAGCCAAGUAGCGUGAAGGAUGACUGCCCUAUGGGUUGUAAACUUCUUUUAUAAAGGAAUAAAGUCGGGUAUGGAUACCCGUUUGCAUGUACUUUAUGAAUAAGGAUCGGCUAACUCCGUGCCAGCAGCCGCGGUAAUACGGAGGAUCCGAGCGUUAUCCGGAUUUAUUGGGUUUAAAGGGAGCGUAGAUGGAUGUUUAAGUCAGUUGUGAAAGUUUGCGGCUCAACCGUAAAAUUGCAGUUGAUACUGGAUAUCUUGAGUGCAGUUGAGGCAGGCGGAAUUCGUGGUGUAGCGGUGAAAUGCUUAGAUAUCACGAGGAACUCCGAUUGCGAAGGCAGCCUGCUAAGCUGCAACUGACAUUGAGGCUCGAAAGUGUGGGUAUCAAACAGGAUUAGAUACCCUGGUAGUCCACACGGUAAACGAUGAAUACUCGCUGUUUGCGAUAUACAGCAAGCGGCCAAGCGAAAGCGUUAAGUAUUCCACCUGGGGAGUACGCCGGCAACGGUGAAACUCAAAGGAAUUGACGGGGGCCCGCACAAGCGGAGGAACAUGUGGUUUAAUUCGAUGAUACGCGAGGAACCUUACCCGGGCUUAAAUUGCAGAUGAAUUACGGUGAAAGCCGUAAGCCGCAAGGCAUCUGUGAAGGUGCUGCAUGGUUGUCGUCAGCUCGUGCCGUGAGGUGUCGGCUUAAGUGCCAUAACGAGCGCAACCCUUGUUGUCAGUUACUAACAGGUUCCGCUGAGGACUCUGACAAGACUGCCAUCGUAAGAUGUGAGGAAGGUGGGGAUGACGUCAAAUCAGCACGGCCCUUACGUCCGGGGCUACACACGUGUUACAAUGGGGGGUACAGAGGGCCGCUACCACGCGAGUGGAUGCCAAUCCCCAAAACCUCUCUCAGUUCGGACUGGAGUCUGCAACCCGACUCCACGAAGCUGGAUUCGCUAGUAAUCGCGCAUCAGCCACGGCGCGGUGAAUACGUUCCCGGGCCUUGUACACACCGCCCGUCAAGCCAUGGGAGCCGGGGGUACCUGAAGUGCGUAACCGCGAGGAGCGCCCUAGGGUAAAACUGGUGACUGGGG
rnacentral:rRNA from 1 species